rnacentral:tmRNA from 1 species
AUCCGCCGCAUUGUUGUGAGCAGAUCUCGGUCUGCGAAAACUCCGAUUCAUUAAGGGCUUGUUGGACGGCGGUUCAAUUCCGCCCUGGUCCACCAGAAGGGUUCUAGUCAGCAGAGCGUUUCUGAUGGGCCAGACAUGGCUUCGACAGUGAGCAGAUAGGUUUUGGGGCGACACGUCAGGCGAUCGACGUAAAUGAAGCAAGCAUGUAAAUGCAAACGAUGAAAACUACGC